rnacentral:rRNA from 1 species
GACAGAGGGUGCAAACGUUGUUCGGAAUUACUGGGCGUAAAGCGCGUGUAGGCGGCUCGGAAAGUCGGAUGUGAAAGCCCUGGGCUUAACCUAGGAAGUGCAUUCGAAACUCCCGUAGCUUGAGUUCUGGAGAGGGAAGCGGAAUUCUCGGUGUAGAGGUGAAAUUCGUAGAUAUCGAGAGGAACACCGGUGGCGAAGGCGGCUUCCUGGACAGUGACUGACGCUGAGACGCGAAAAGCGUGGGGAGCAAACAGGGA